rnacentral:rRNA from 1 species
UUAAAUUGAAGAGUUUGAUCAUGGCUCAGAUUGAACGCUGGCGGCAGGCCUAACACAUGCAAGUCGAACGGUAACAGGAAGAAGCUUGCUUCUUUGCUGACGAGUGGCGGACGGGUGAGUAAUGUCUGGGAAACUGCCUGAUGGAGGGGGAUAACUGCUGGAAACGGUAGCUAAUACCGCAUAACGUCGCAAGACCAAAGAGGGGGACCUUCGGGCCUCUUGCCAUCGGAUGUGCCCAGAUGGGAUUAGCUAGUAGGUGGGGUAACGGCUCACCUAGGCGACGAUCCCUAGCUGGUCUGAGAGGAUGACCAGCCACACUGGAACUGAGACACGGUCCAGACUCCUACGGGAGGCAGCAGUGGGGAAUAUUGCACAAUGGGCGCAAGCCUGAUGCAGCCAUGCCGCGUGUAUGAAGAAGGCCUUCGGGUUGUAAAGUACUUUCAGCGGGGAGGAAGGGAGUAAAGUUAAUACCUUUGCUCAUUGACGUUACCCGCAGAAGAAGCACCGGCUAACUCCGUGCCAGCAGCCGCGGUAAUACGGAGGGUGCAAGCGUUAAUCGGAAUUACUGGGCGUAAAGCGCACGCAGGCGGUUUGUUAAGUCAGAUGUGAAAUCCCCGGGCUCAACCUGGGAACUGCAUCUGAUACUGGCAAGCUUGAGUCUCGUAGAGGGGGGUAGAAUUCCAGGUGUAGCGGUGAAAUGCGUAGAGAUCUGGAGGAAUACCGGUGGCGAAGGCGGCCCCCUGGACGAAGACUGACGCUCAGGUGCGAAAGCGUGGGGAGCAAACAGGAUUAGAUACCCUGGUAGUCCACGCCGUAAACGAUGUCGACUUGGAGGUUGUGCCCUUGAGGCGUGGCUUCCGGAGCUAACGCGUUAAGUCGACCGCCUGGGGAGUACGGCCGCAAGGUUAAAACUCAAAUGAAUUGACGGGGGCCCGCACAAGCGGUGGAGCAUGUGGUUUAAUUCGAUGCAACGCGAAGAACCUUACCUGGUCUUGACAUCCACGGAAGUUUUCAGAGAUGAGAAUGUGCCUUCGGGAACCGUGAGACAGGUGCUGCAUGGCUGUCGUCAGCUCGUGUUGUGAAAUGUUGGGUUAAGUCCCGCAACGAGCGCAACCCUUAUCCUUUGUUGCCAGCGGUCCGGCCGGGAACUCAAAGGAGACUGCCAGUGAUAAACUGGAGGAAGGUGGGGAUGACGUCAAGUCAUCAUGGCCCUUACGACCAGGGCUACACACGUGCUACAAUGGCGCAUACAAAGAGAAGCGACCUCGCGAGAGCAAGCGGACCUCAUAAAGUGCGUCGUAGUCCGGAUUGGAGUCUGCAACUCGACUCCAUGAAGUCGGAAUCGCUAGUAAUCGUGGAUCAGAAUGCCACGGUGAAUACGUUCCCGGGCCUUGUACACACCGCCCGUCACACCAUGGGAGUGGGUUGCAAAAGAAGUAGGUAGCUUAACCUUCGGGAGGGCGCUUACCACUUUGUGAUUCAUGACUGGGGUGAAGUCGUAACAAGGUAACCGUAGGGGAACCUGCGGUUGGAUCACCUCCUUACCUUAAAGAAGC